GCCUCGGUAGCUCAGUGGAUAGAGCACCACUCUCCUAAAGUGGGUGUCGUCAGUUCGAUUCUGAUCCGGGGCAC
rnacentral:tRNA from 2 species